UCAGGCCUAACACAUGCAAGUCGAGGGGUAGAACAUUUCGGUGUUUGAGACCGGCGCACGGGUGCGUAACGCGUAUGCAACCUACCUUUUACAGGGGAAUAGCCCAGAGAAAUUUGGAUUAAUGCCCCAUGGUAUAUUUAGAUGGCAUCAUCUGAUUAUUAAAGUUCCAACGGUAAAAGAUGGGCAUGCGUCCUAUUAGCUAGAUGGUAAGGUAACGGCUUACCAUGGCAACGAUAGGUAGGGGUCCUGAGAGGGAGAUCCCCCACACUGGUACUGAGACACGGACCAGACUCCUACGGGAGGCAGCAGUGAGGAAUAUUGGACGAUGGGCGCAAGCCUGAUCCAGCCAUGCCGCGUGCAGGAAGAAGCAUCUAUGGUGAAAAGCUGCUUUUUACGGGAAGAAACACUCCUACGGUAGGAGCUG
rnacentral:rRNA from 1 species